rnacentral:rRNA from 1 species
AGAGCGAACGCUGGCGGCAGGCUUAACACAUGCAAGUCGAGCGGGCGUAGCAAUACGUCAGCGGCAGACGGGUGAGUAACGCGUGGGAACGUACCUUUUGGUUCGGAACAACCCAGGGAAACUUGGGCUAAAUACCGGAUAAGCCCUUACGGGGAAAGAUUUAUCGCCGAAAGAUCGGCCCGCGUCUGAUUAGCUAGUUGGUGAGGUAAUGGCUCACCAAGGCGACGAUCAGUAGCUGGUCUGAGAGGAUGAUCAGCCACAUUGGGACUGAGACACGGCCCAAACUCCUACGGGAGGCAGCAGUGGGGAAUAUUGGACAAUGGGCGCAAGCCUGAUCCAGCCAUGCCGCGUGAGUGAUGAAGGCCCUAGGGUUGUAAAGCUCUUUUGUGCGGGAAGAUAAUGACGGUACCGCAAGAAUAAGCCCAGGCUAACUUCGCGCCAGCAGCCGC